ACUAGUCGAGUCGUCCUGCGCGGAAGAUGUAACGGGGCUCAAGCCAUGAACCGAAGCUGCGGAUGCAUUUUAAUGCAUGGUAGGGGAGCGUUCUGUAAGUCUGUGAAGGUGUCUUGUAAAGGAUGCUGGAGAUAUCAGAAGUGCGAAUGCUGACAUGAGUAGCGAUAAAGGGUGUGAAAAGCACCCUCGCCGAAAGCCCAAGGUUUCCUGCGCAACGUUCAUCGGCGCAGGGUGAGUCGGCCCCUAAGGCGAGGCAGAGAUGCGUAGUCGAUGGGAAACAGGUCAAUAUUCCUGUACCGCUCUAUGAUGCGAUGGGGGGACGGAGAAGGUUAGGCCAGCCAACUGUUGGAAUAGUUGGUUUAAGCGUGUAGGCGUGCUCUUUAGGCAAAUCCGGAGAGCUGAGCUGAGGCGUGAUGACGAGGUCUCUUUGAGACCGAAGUGGUUGAUACCCUGCUUCCAGGAAAAGCCUCUAAGCUUCAGUCAUAGAGUGACCGUACCGCAAACCGACACAGGUGGGCAGGUAGAAGAUACUAAGGCGCUUGAGAGAACUCAGGAGAAGGAACUCGGCAAAUUGAUACCGUAACUUCGGGAGAAGGUAUGCCCCAGUAGCUUGUAGGAGAACAUCCGAAGGGCGACGGGGCCGCAGAGAAUCGGUGGCUGCGACUGUUUAUUAAAAACUCAGCACUCUGCAAACACGAAAGUGGACGUAUAGGGUGUGACGCCUGCCCGGUGCCGGAAGGUUAAGUGAUGGGGUGCAAGCUCUUGAUCGAAGCCCCGGUAAACGGCGGCCGUAACGAUAACGGUCCUAAGGUAGCGAAAUUCCUUGUCGGGUAAGUUCCGACCUGCACGAAUGGCGUAACGAUGGCCACACUGUCUCCUCCUGAGACUCAGCGAAGUUGAAGUGUUUGUGAAGAUGCAAUCUCCCCGCGGCUAGACGGAAAGACCCCAUGAACCUUUACUGUAGCUUUGCAUUGGACUUUGACGGGACUUGUGUAGGAUAGGUGGGAGGCGCUGAGACCAGGACGCUAGUUCUGGUGGAGCCGUCCUUGAAAUACCACCCUGGUGUCGUUGAGGUUCUAACCUAGGUCCAUCAUCUGGAUCGGGGACCGUGCAUGGUAGGCAGUUUGACUGGGGCGGUCUCCUCCCAAAAGGUAACGGAGGAGUACGAAGGUCUUCUAGGUACGGUCGGACAUCGUACUGAUAGUGCAAUGGCAAAAGAAGGCUUGACUGCGAGACCGACAAGUCGAGCAGGUGCGAAAGCAGGUCAUAGUGAUCCGGUGGUUCUGUAUGGAAGGGCCAUCGCUCAACGGAUAAAAGGUACUCUGGGGAUA
rnacentral:rRNA from 1 species